UACGGGGGGGGCAAGCGUUGGUCGGAAUUACUGGGCGUAAAGGGCUCGUAGGCGGCCAACUAAGUCGGACGUGAAAUCCCUCGGCUUAACCGGGGAACUGCGUCCGAUACUGGAUGGCUUGAGUUCGGGAGAGGGAUGCGGAAUUCCAGGUGUAGCGGUGAAAUGCGUAGAUAUCUGGAGGAACACCGGUGGCGAAGGCGGCAUCCUGGACCGACACUGACGCUGAGGAGCGAAAGCCAGGGGAGCAAACGGG
rnacentral:rRNA from 1 species